UUAAGUUAUGCACCUUAGUCGGAGGUACAUGACUCAGAUCACUGUACAACUGGCAUUCACAACAUUUUCUCACCGGUGCUAUACAAUUCUUCUCUAUUACCAACUAAUAAUAACCUCGUCGCAUGAUCUUUCUGGUUAACACUAUGUCCUUCAUAUAGGCCACAUACUCCUUUGUGCAUUUCCUCUAUCACUACUUGGGCUUUCGCUUUAG
rnacentral:lncRNA from 1 species